CUGACAUGGGAUUGCCCCCGCCCUGACCUCCUCUGCAAGGCUGGAGUGAGCAAGAUAUUUUUUCCACUCUUGGACUCGGACCUUAGAGAAAGAAGAACCACCUCUUCCAGCCCAGCCCAGGAAAAGAUGGCGUCAAUAUCGCGGACACCGAGGGUGAAGGAUGGAGCCCUCUGCUUCGUUAUUUCUAAUGAAGGUCGCUGUUUUUCCAAUCCUGACCCGGUUUGACGGUCUGGGGACUUCUUCCUACGCUCUGGCAAGCAGAGGCCAAGGACUCUGGACACAGCAACAAUCCAGAGGCUGUUGGACAGUGGACAACUUCUGGUUGUUUUGUUCACCUGCAGAGAGAAGUACAGACAGACAGGCUUUCCAGACCCACAGCGAGCUUGAGCACCCGUGGGACACAGGUAGUUAGAGGUGACAGUGUACACUGGGCACAAAAGACCCCAUCCAUGGUAUGUUGUGCCUGAUGCCCUGAAGAUUUCCUGUACCACCAGUGCUAGAUCUAAGAGAGAUAGGGGUGCUUUCAUGGUCCGGUCUUACAGGCAAAGAUGCUAGAGGGAUCAAUUACAGGGACCAAAGCCGCCCAGCAAGGAAGCAAUAGAACUAGACCCAGAACUCAGCAUUGCCUGAUGCCAAAGCCCAGCCGUGAAGCACUCUUGUGUAGAAUGAAGGAAGGGAUGGAGGGCAUCUUGUUUUUGAAACGGAGACUCACUGGCCUGGCAUUGACCAGUAAGCCCCGAGGAUCCACCUGUCUCUGCCUCCCCUGGCCUGUGAUUAUAAAAGCACACAGCUGUCCUUGUUCUCUUUGAUUACAUGGGAUUGAACUCAGGUCUUCCUGCUUGCAAGGCAGGCCCACUACUGACAGCUAUCUCACUGGCCUCGGGCACUUUUAAAGUUAUCUAGUAUAGCCAUCUCAUUUCGCCGUGGGGCCUCGGUGAUUAGAAUUUCUUCCUCAACAUGUGGCCUUCCCUUAUAGCUCUUAUGGUAGACAGCCGGCGAGAAUCCACCCCCCUGUAGGUGCUGUACUGCUCCUUUAACUUUGCCCUCUGCCUGGUAUCACGGCCAGUGUGUCACCUCCAAAGGAAAUGUUUAUUCAGAAACGCUAUCAGGAGAGUCCAGCGAAAUACAGUGUAGUCCGACCUCA